rnacentral:rRNA from 1 species
UACGUAGGUGGCGAGCGUUGUCCGGAUUUACUGGGCGUAAAGAGCGCGCAGGCGGCUGGUCAAGUCCGAUGUGAAAGCUCCCGGCUUAACUGGGAAAUUGCAUCGGAAACUGAUCGGCUGGAAGGUGGGAGAGGGUAGCGGAAUUCCCGGUGUAGUGGUGAAAUGCGUAGAGAUGCGGAGGAACACCGAUGGCGAAGGCAGCCCCCUGGGCUAACACUGACGCUCAGGCACGAAAGCGUGGGGAGCAAACAGG